UACAGAGGGCGCGAGCGUUGUCCGGAAUCACUGGGCGUAAAGGGCGCGUAGGCGGCCCGUCAAGCGUGUGGUGAAAGCCCGGGGCUCAACCCCGGGUCGGCCGUGCGGACUGGCGGGCUCGAGCACUGUAGGGGCGGGUGGAAUUCCGGGUGUAGCGGUGGAAUGCGUAGAGAUCCGGAAGAACACCGGUGGCGAAGGCGGCCCGCUGGGCAGGAAGGCCCCCUCACGGGGGCCGGCUGACGCUGAGGCGCGACAGCGUGGGGAGCGAACAGG
rnacentral:rRNA from 1 species